rnacentral:rRNA from 1 species
UACGUAGGCAGCAAGCGUUGUUCGGAAUUACUGGGCGUAAAGAGUGUGUAGGCGGUGCUCUAAGUUCGGUGUGAAAUCUCCCGGCUUAACUGGGAGGGUGCGCCGGAAACUGGAGUGCUCGAGCGUGGGAGAGGAAAGCGGAAUUCCUGGUGUAGCGGUGAAAUGCGUAGAUAUCAGGAGGAACACCUGCGGUGUAGACGGCUUUCUGGACCAUUGCUGACGCUGAGACACGAAAGCGUGGGUAGUAAACAGG